CAGCUUCAAGUUUCUAAAAGUGUUGGAUUUGCUGUCUACUACUAUUGAUUCUUUCCCAACAGAUCUAGUUUACUUGAGAUAUUUUGCUGCACGAACUCAUAAUUCGUUGGACAAAUUGAUCGUUGCCAAUUGUUGGAACCUCGAGACUUUGAUAUUACAAAAUUAUGGAGUAAUGUCACUGCCCCUUAUUGAUCAUUGCCAAUUGUUGGAACCUCGAGACUUUGAUAUUACAAAAUUAUGGAGUAAUGUCACUGCCCCUUACAAUCUGGAAUAUAGUUAAUUUGAGACAUUUGCAUAUUUCGCAUUGCAGCUUCAAUAUAAAACAUGCAAAAUAUUCACUUGAGAUCUCGA
rnacentral:lncRNA from 1 species